rnacentral:rRNA from 1 species
UACAGAGGGUGCGAGCGUUGCUCGGAAUUACUGGGCGUAAAGGGCGCGUAGGCGGAUAGUUUAGUCAGAGGUGAAAGCCCAGGGCUCAACCUUGGAAUUGCCUUUGAUACUGGCUAUCUUGAGUUCGGGAGAGGUGAGUGGAAUGCCGAGUGUAGAGGUGAAAUUCGUAGAUAUUCGGCGGAACACCAGUGGCGAAGGCGACUCACUGGCCCGAUACUGACGCUGAGGCGCGAAAGCGUGGGGAGCAAACAGG